rnacentral:rRNA from 1 species
AUGGCUCAGGACGAACGCUGGCGGCGUGCUUAACACAUGCAAGUCGAACGAUGAUGCCCAGCUUGCUGGGUGGAUUAGUGGCGAACGGGUGAGUAACACGUGAGUAACCUGCCCUUGACUUCGGGAUAACUCCGGGAAACCGGGGCUAAUACCGGAUAUGAGCUACCUUCGCAUGGGGGUGGUUGGAAAGUUUUUCGGUCAGGGAUGGGCUCGCGGCCUAUCAGCUUGUUGGUGGGGUGAUGGCCUACCAAGGCGACGACGGGUAGCCGGCCUGAGAGGGCGACCGGCCACACUGGGACUGAGACACGGCCCAGACUCCUACGGGAGGCAGCAGUGGGGAAUAUUGCACAAUGGGCGAAAGCCUGAUGCAGCGACGCCGCGUGAGGGAUGAAGGCCUUCGGGUUGUAAACCUCUUUCAGCAGGGAAGAAGCGCAAGUGACGGUACCUGCAGAAGAAGCGCCGGCUAACUACGUGCCAGCAGCCGCGGUAAUACGUAGGGCGCAAGCGUUGUCCGGAAUUAUUGGGCGUAAAGAGCUCGUAGGCGGUUUGUCGCGUCUGGUGUGAAAACUCGAGGCUCAACCUCGAGCUUGCAUCGGGUACGGGCAGACUAGAGUGCGGUAGGGGAGACUGGAAUUCCUGGUGUAGCGGUGGAAUGCGCA